AAAAAGACAAACCCUGGUUUCCGUAUCCAAUAUUUGACCGUCCGUCUUAUUUGAAAAAAAUAUGAAAAAAAUUAAAAAGACAAGUCACGCAUAAAAUAUUAAUCAUGUUUUAUCAUCUAACAACAAUAAAAAUACGAAUUAUAAAACAAUUUCAUAUAAGACGGACAGUUAAAGUUGGACACGGAAAGUUAGGAUUUGCCUUUUU
rnacentral:pre_miRNA from 1 species